rnacentral:rRNA from 1 species
AUUGAACGCUGGCGGCAUGCUUUACACAUGCAAGUCGAACGGCAGCGCGGGCUUCGGCCUGGCGGCGAGUGGCGAACGGGUGAGUAAUGCAUCGGAACGUGCCCAGUAGUGGGGGAUAGCCCGGCGAAAGCCGGAUUAAUACCGCAUACGACCUGAGGGUGAAAGCGGGGGACCGAAAGGCCUCGCGCUAUUGGAGCGGCCGAUGUCGGAUUAGCUAGUUGGUGGGGUAAAGGCUUACCAAGGCGACGAUCCGUAGCUGGUCUGAGAGGACGACCAGCCACACUGGAACUGAGACACGGCCCAGACUCCUACGGGAGGCAGCAGUGGGGAAUAUUGGACAAUGGGGGCAAGCCUGAUCCAGCCAUGCCGCGUGCGGGAAGAAGGCCUUCGGGUUGUAAAGCGCUUUUGUUCGGGAAGAAAUCCUCUGGGCUAAUACCCCGGGGGGAUGACGGUACCGGAAGAAUAAGCACCGGCUAACUACGUG